UUUGAUCCUGGCUCAGGAUGAACGCUGGCGGCGUGCUUAACACAUGCAAGUCGAGCGGAGGUAUAUAAUCGGAGAGCUUCGGCAGGAAGAGUAUAUAGCUUAGCGGCGGACGGGUGAGUAACGUGUGGGCAACCUGCCGUAUACAGGGGAAUAAUCAUUGGAAACGAUGACUAAUACCGCAUGUCACCAUUGGGAGGCAUCUCCCGAUGGGAAAAGGAGUAAUCCGGUAUACGAUGGGCCCGCAUCUGAUUAGCUAGUUGGUGAGAUAACAGCUCACCAAGGCAACGAUCAGUAGCCGACCUGAGAGGGUGAUCGGCCACAUUGGGACUGAGACACGGCCCAAACUCCUACGGGAGGCAGCAGUGGGGAAUAUUGCACAAUGGGGGGAACCCUGAUGCAGCAACGCCGCGUGAAGGAAGAAGGCUUUCGGGUUGUAAACUUCUAUCAAUAGGGACGAAAAGAAUGACGGUACCUAAAUAAGAAGCCCCGGCUAACUACGUG
rnacentral:rRNA from 1 species